CCCUUAGAUGUUCUGGGCCGCACACGCGCUACACUGAAGGAGGCAGCGUGUACUCCUGGAUCGAAAGAUUUGGGUAACCCGCGAAUCUCCUUCGUGCUAGGGAUUGAGGUUUGCAAUUAUCCUUCAUGAACGAGGAAUUCCCAGUAAGUGCAGGUCAUAAGCUUGCGCUGACUACGUCCCUGCCCUUUGUACACACCGCCCGUCGCUACUACCGAUUGAAUGAUUUAGUGAGGACUUCGGACUGGGACCGAUGCGGCUUUCGGGCUGCGUCGGUAUUCUGGAAAGAUGUCCAAACUGUAUCAUUUAGAGGAAGCAAAAGUCGUAACA
rnacentral:rRNA from 1 species